rnacentral:lncRNA from 1 species
GGGGCCUCCACAGUCUGCACAGCUCGGCUCCCCAUUCUCUCGUGAAGGUACAAGCUGUUGUCAUGAAGCCUGGAGUUUUUCCGAGAUGCCAGAGGCAGCAGCGCAGUGCUCUUGUUUCUCAUCUAAACCUGUCCCUUUCUCAGAACAGAGCCCGCGUGUGUGAUUCCUUCGUGGUCCCAGAGCGGGUCAUCUUGCUUGCAGGGUAGCCUUGGGGCACCACUGCUUGUCAGGGUUGAGCAGAAAGGCAGACCAGAAUCCUCUGAGUCCCCCUCCCACUUCCAGCUGGUUGACUGACAUUCCACCCGACCAGAAGGAACCAGAGGAGGAAGAAGGCCUGAGAAACUGGAGGGAGGCUGCUCAGGCGGUUCUGUAGAAUGUUCUAGAAUACCUAGAAAAAAAAAAAUAAAGCACCCAACAGGCUGAAGCAAGGAAAUUACUGUAGGUAGUGAGUUCUUGGCCAGCAUGGGCUACAUGGGUGUAACUCUGCAUAGAAUAAC